GGUCCGUAUUUCAAUAGGCACAAUGACACAACUCAGAAUGUGCUUGCCAUUUGUGACUUCGACCGGAGGUUCACAUUUGUUGCAGCUGGGAUUCCAGGAUCAGCACAUGAUUGGGCAGUCCUUAGGGAGGCGAUGGAGAGGUGUGGUGAAAAGUUUCCACAUCCACCUCAAGGCAAGUAUUAUCUUGUGGAUGCCGGAUACACAAACAGACGUGGGUUUUUGGCACCGUACAAGGGGGUGACGUAUCAUCUGGCAGUAUGGAAACGGGCGCCUCGUCCUAGAGGUAUGAAACAAAUCUUUAACCGAGCGCAUUCCUCCCUGAGGUCAGUCAUAGAACAGUCAUUUGGUAUGGUGAAGAUAAAGUGGCGCAUUUUGUUGGGUCUUCCACAUUACUCGGAGCGCAGACAGGCUCAAAUUAUUUUGGCUUGUUGUGGACUACAUAACUUCAUUUUGGAGAACGACAAUGACGAUUUACACUAUCAUAUGGAUGAUGCCGACGAUUCCUAGGACAUAGAUGAUGUUGACGAGGACACAGGUCAUGAUGCCGUAGAGGGAGACGAGGAUGACAUGAAUGAACUCCGUGAUGAAAUAGCCGCAGGGUGCCGGAUGGCUGAACGUGCUAGCCGUGUGUGAGGUCUAUGUGUUAUUUGUUUGUAGCAUUGUUUGAGUUGUUUUUUAAUCACAAUAAUGAACGUUUUAUUUGCUAAAACCCAUGUUGGAGUUGUAACUUGUUUUAUGGAAUAAUGAUUGCCGUCAGUUAUGUGCAGUCACGCUGUUUGUAAUUCAGAUCAGUUUAAGUCUGCAGACGCAGGAGCUGAAGCAGCAUUUGCAUAACAAUAUUGUGGUUUCACUUUGGGUA